rnacentral:tRNA from 1 species
AGGCCUAGGACACCGCCCUUUCACGGCGGUAACAGGGGUUCGAAUCCCCUUGGGGACG